rnacentral:rRNA from 1 species
ACAGCAGCAGCCGCGGGAAUACGGAGGAUCCAAGCGUUAUCCGGAAUCAUUGGGUUUAAAGGGUCCGUAGGCGGUCUUGUAAGUCAGUGGUGAAAGCCCAUCGCUCAACGGUGGAACGGCCAUUGAUACUGCAGGACUUGAAUUAUUGGGAAGUAACUAGAAUAUGUAGUGUAGCGGUGAAAUGCUUAGAGAUUACAUGGAAUACCAAUUGCGAAGGCAGGUUACUACCAAUUGAUUGACGCUGAUGGACGAAAGCGUGGGUAGCGAACAGGAUUAGAGACCCCUGUAGUCCCUGUCUCUUAUAC